rnacentral:rRNA from 1 species
GAGGAACGCGGGCGGCGGGCCGAAGACAGGCAAGUCGAGCGAACAGACGAGGAGCUUGCUCCUCUGACGUUAGCGGCGGACGGGUGAGUAACACGUGGAUAACCUACCUAUAAGACUGGGAUAACUUCGGGAAACCGGAGCUAAUACCGGAUAAUAUAUUGAACCGCAUGGUUCAAUAGUGAAAGACGGUUUUGCUGUCACUUAUAGAUGGAUCCGCGCCGCAUUAGCUAGUUGGUAAGGUAACGGCUUACCAAGGCAACGAUGCGUAGCCGACCUGAGAGGGUGCUCGGCCACACUGGAACUGAGACACGGUCCAGACUCCUACGGGAGGCAGCAGUAGGGAAUCUUCCGCAAUGGGCGAAAGCCUGACGGAGCAACGCCGCGUGAGUGAUGAAGGUCUUCGGAUCGUAACCCUCUGUUAUUAGGGAAGAACAAAUGUGUAAGUAACUAUGCACGUCUUGACGGUACCUAAUCAUAAAGCCACAACUCACUACGUU